CCACCUCAUUUCCUCUUGCUCCCAUUUUCGUCACUCUCACACUCUCCCUCCUCCAUUUCACUUUCUCUCUCUAAAUCUCAAGCUUCUCUCUAAGGUUUGAGCUACCUAAAGGAAGAUCUAGGUAGGGAGCACAAAGGAAAGUUGUUCUACUCUUCAAGAUCUUCAUUUCUCAUCUGGUCUUGCAUGUAUUUAGGGAUUUUUGAGCUUAGGAGUUAAGGGCUUGGGUUACAUUCUUAAGGAUAUGGCAAGGACAUUGUAGACGAUGUACCCCCGCAAGCUUAAAGUGUAGGGAUGAACUUUUGACACCUUUUGUAAUGGACUAGUAUGAACAAUGAUUUUGUAAUGUAAUCAUAAUCUUUUGUAUUUGUAUAAAUGUUUCAAAGAUGUAUGAAUGAUGAUAUUUAUAAAUUUUAUGUAAUGUUAAAUGGUUGAUGA